ensembl:lncRNA
CAGAAGAGGCAUUUCGCCAUGUUAAAAGACUGGAGGAAGAUGUUAUUCAUCUCCCAAAAGAGGAUGAAAAUGAUAUGUCUAACAAACAUGAGGAGCAAUUGGAAGAUGAAUUGCACCCCUAUGGGUAUGGUAACGAUGAUUGUGAAAGAUUGGGAGGAUUCAUUAAGGAAAAUGACAUGACAGAAAGAAUCGAUAAGUUCAACCAAGAGGAGAUUAUCUCAUAUGAAUCUGCUCAAGCUUCUCACUGGUCAGAAGAGGUAUUUCACCAUGUUGAAAGAGUGGAGGAAGGUGACAUAAAUUUCACAAAAGUGGAUGAUGAAAAUGAUAUGUCUAACAAACGUGAGGAACAACAUGCACUGAACCCCAAUGGGGAUGUAAAGGAUGAAUGGGAUCGAGUGGCAGGGUACAAUGAAGAGAAUGGAAUUGGAGAAAGAAUGGAUGAUUGGAAAGAAGCAAAGUAUCAUGUGAAAGAGGAAGAGAUGUGGAAUAACAGAGAAGCCCAACCCAAUCGGUCUGAUCAAGAGUAUAUACCUUCAAAUGAAGAGAAACAAAAUCUAUUCGAGCAAGAGCAAAUACCUUCAGGCAGAGAGAAACUGAAUCAGUCUGAGCAAAGGUAUAUCAAUUCAAACGGAGAGAAACUGAAUCAAUCUGAGCAAGAACAUAUACCUUCAGGCGGAGAGAAACUGAAUCAAUCCGAGCCAGAGUACAUAACUUCAGGCGGAGAGAAACGGAAUCAAUCCGAGCAAGAGAAUAUACCUUUAGGUGGAGAGAAACGGAAUCAAUCUGAACAAGAGAAGAUACCUUCAGGAGGAGAGAAACUGAAUCAAUCUGAGCCAGAGUAUAUAAUUUCAGGCGGAGAGAAACUGAAUCAAUCUGAACAAGAGGAUAUAACUUCAGGCGGCGAGACACUGGAUAUAUGUGAGCAAGAACAUAUACCCUCAGACAGAGAGAAAAUGAAUCAAUCCGAGCAAGAAAAUAUACCUUUAGGUGGAGAAAAACUGAAUCAAUUCGAGCAAGAAAAUAUACCUUUAGGUGGACAGAAACUGAAUCAAUUCGAGCCAGAGUAUAUAAUUUCAGGCGGAGAGAAACUGAAUCAAUCUGAACAAGAGAAUAUACCUUUAGGCGGAGAGAAACUGGAUAUAUGUGAGCAAGAACACAUACCCUCAGACAGAGAGAAAAUGAAUCAAUCCGAUCCCGAGUAUAUACCUUCAGGUGCAGAGACACUGAAUCAGUCUGAGCAAGAGUGUAUACCUUCAGGUGCAGAGAAACUGAAUCAGUCUGAGCAAGAGUGUAUACCUUCAGGUGCAGAGAAACUGAAUCAGUCUGAGCAAGAGUGUAUACCUUCAGGUGCAGAGAAACUGAAUCAGUCUGAGCAAGAGUGUAUACCUUCAGGUGGAGAGAAACUGAAUCAGUCUGAGCAAGAGUGUAUACCUCCAGGUGCAGAGAAACUGAAUCAGUCUGAGCAAGAGUGUAUUUCCUCAGAGGUUAUGUAUUCGGUGCACUCUAGGAUUCUAAUGACAUCUGAUCACACAUCUCUUAGAGAAGGUUCAGUAGAAAUAUCCCAAGAAGAAUAUUUGGCUCAAGGUAAGGUAUUCAGUGGGGGACUGGGAACUGAAGCUGUACCAGACAAAAUAGAAGGACAGGAUGACCAGAACCUUUAUAUGUCGACUCAUGCAGACUUCACUGAAAGCCAUUCUAUCUACAGCAGUUUAAACAGCAGGCCUGAGAGUCAAACCGACAAGAACAACUUGGAUAUAGAAGAGUCCAACAGCACAGAUGAUGAGUCGCCAAAUGCAAGCCAGUAUUUGCAACCUGUCACCAAAGCAAAUCUAACUGCAGAUCAGGAAGACUUGUUAGAUGUGGCAGUCUCUCACUAUGAGGAUUGCAAUACUCUUAUUGAACAUUCUGCAGAAGAGGUCACUAGCUAUCAGGCAAGUAAUGAAUGUCUUCAGACAGAUGAAUGGGAAGUCUUAGAAAGUCCAAACAAACACCUGGAAUCUGGAGAUCCUUUUGCAGGUCACAAGAGAUACUCUGAGAGAUCAUCCAAAACUGACAGCGAAGCCCGGGACCUCCACAGCUUCCUCAGCUCUGGUGUACACAACAACUUCUGGGGUUCCAAUCUGGAGACAGGAGCCCCCUAUCAACCGGAUGAGCCAUAUGACCAUGUGACCGAGCUACCCAAUCAGAACCUAGCCUUGGCUAACAACCUAUCCUGGGUGGAUUUGGAGAAUCCACAGGCAACUAAUUGGAACACAAAGAUGGACAGCGACACACCUAAAGCUUCCACCCUUGAAGAAGAGGACAAACAGAUGCCCUCACAGGUGAAGCAGCUGGUUUGUAAAGAUGUGGUAGAGGGUGUGAAUGUUACUUCUGAAGGUUCUGAAGAUGGAGACUCCUGGUCAUCUGGGGAAGAAUAGGAACAAUUUCAGCAUGGUUUUUAUAAAGGAGUAAAGUAGAAGUAACAAGUGUUACUGAGAGUGUAAAACUAUUUACAUUUUACAGGCUUUGAAUUUGAGCAUUGAUUCACAUUGAGCCUCACAGUGGAAAGUAAAUGAAAUGAUAAUUUCAUCCAAACAUGAAUGUACUAUGUCACAGAAUGUCAUGACAAUUCAGUGCUCUCCGGGAUCCUUGGGAUGUCCCUACCCUAAACCCUAACUAUAACCAUAAUUCUUACCUACACCAUUUAAAAUGUCAACUUCAAUGGGAUUCCCAAGGAUGCGAGAUAGCACAGACCGUCAAAUAUUUAUGCUGUUUUCAAAAACCAAAAAGUUGUGCUUUGGUGCACACCCUGCUGGCACUAACCACCAGUGUACCUACUCCAUUUCAAGACAUUGAGGGCCAUUUUUUGUAAGUUUUACAAAUUGAUGUUUGAAUAGCAUUUGUUUAUUCCCCCCGAAGAACAAAAGUAACUUAAUUAAAAACCAAAGAAAGGACAUUUGAAAGUCAAAGCAUUCUGAACUGGCAUUAAUUGAUAGUUGAUUUGAUUGCACUGAUUGAAGGAAAUCAAAGUGAGAACCAAGGUAUUUCACUGCACAAGACCUGCAAGCUUGUUUUUUCUAGCAGCAACUGUUACCUUAACAUCUUAAGUCCAUUUGAUAAGGACUCCAGCUGUGCCUUCAGAAAGUAUUCAUACCCCUUGACUUACUCCAUUGAAUAGUGUUAUUUAUGAUUUAUCAUUUGAUAUUUUAACUCACACACUAAGCAGCAAAUCAAAUCAAAUUGUAUUAGUCACAUGCGCCGAAUACAACAGGUGUAGUAGACCUUACAGUGAAAUGCUUACUUACGAGCCCCUAACCGACAGUGCCUGUUUAAAAAAAUACAGAUAAGAAUAAGAGAUAAAAGUAACAAGUAAUUAAAGAGGAACAGUAAAAAAAUAACAAUAUAUACAGGGGGAUGCCGGUACAGAGUCAAUGUGCAGGGGCACCGGUUAGUUGAGGUAGUAUGUACAUGUAGGUAGAGUUAUUAAAGUGAUUAUGCAUAGAUGACAACAGAGAGUGGCAGUGGUGUGGAGGGGGGGGGGAUGUGAAUAGUCUGGGUAGCCAUUUGACUAGAUGUUCAGCAGUGCAUGGUUUGAAAUCCCA